rnacentral:rRNA from 1 species
UACGGAAUAAUUAGUUGGAAACGGCAACUAAUACCGUAUACGCCCGUAACGGGGGAAAAAUUUAGUUGCUAUUAGAUGAGCCUAUAUUAGAUUAGCUAGUUGGUGGAGUAAUAGCCUACCAAGGCAAUGAUCUAUAGCUGAUCUGAGAGGAUGAUUAGCCACACUGGAACUGAGAUACGGUCCAG